GACGAACGCUGGCGGCGUGCUUAACACAUGCAAGUCGAACGGAAGGGCCCUGCUUUUGUGGGGUGCUCGAGUGGCGAACGGGUGAGUAACACGUGAGUAACCUGCCCUUGACUUUGGGAUAACUUCAGGAAACUGGGGCUAAUACCGGAUAGGAGCUCCUGCUGCACGGUGGGGGUUGGAAAGUUUCGGCGGUUGGGGAUGGACUCGCGGCUUAUCAGCUUGUUGGUGGGGUAGUGGCUUACCAAGGCUUUGACGGGUAGCCGGCCUGAGAGGGUGACCGGCCACAUUGGGACUGAGAUACGGCCCAGACUCCUACGGGAGGCAGCAGUGGGGAAUAUUGCACAAUGGGCGGAAGCCUGAUGCAGCAACGCCGCGUGCGGGAUGACGGCCUUCGGGUUGUAAACCGCUUUCGCCUGUGACGAAGCGUGAGUGACGGUAAUGGGUAAAGAAGCACCGGCUAACUACGUG
rnacentral:rRNA from 1 species